UUGCAUAUUGUGAAAUAUUAUUACAAUUUAAAAUAACUUUUUUCUAUUUGUAUAUUUUUUAAAACAUAAUUUAUAAUUGUUAGACUUAAGCACUGCAUGAUAUUCAGAAAUCAUCCUAAUAUGCUGAUUUGCUGCUCAAGAAAAAAAUUCAGAGAAUGCAUUAAACUGAUUAAAAGUCACAAUAAAGACAUUUAUAAUCUUAUAAAAGAUUUCUAUUUCAAAUAAAUGUUGUUCUUUUUAUACUUUCUAUUUAUCAAAGUUUCCACAAAAAUAUGAAGCAGCACAACUUUUUUUCAACAGUGAUAAUAAUGAGAAAUGUUUCUUGAGCAGCAAAUAAGCAUAUGUGACCAGUGACCAAAAGUCAUAAGGGUCAAUUUUUUCUUAUUUAAAUUUGUAUAUCAUCUGAAAGCUAAAUAAAUAAGCUUUCUAUUGAUGUAUGGUUUGUUAGGACAGAACAAUAUGGGCGAGAUACCACUGUUUGAAAAUCUGGAAUCUGAGGGUGCAAAAAAAUCUAAAUAUUGAGAAAACUUUAAAAUUGUCAAAAUUAAGUUCUUAGCAUGCAUAUUACUAAUCAAAAUUUACAUUUUGAUAUAUUUACAGUAGUAAAUGUACAAAAUAUCUUAAUGGAACAUUAUCUUUACUUAACAUCCCAAUUAUUGUUGGCAUAAAAGAAAAAUUUAUUAUUUUGACCCAUAUGUAUGAGUGUAUUAUUGGCUACUGUCAUGUGACACUAAAGACUGGAGUAAUGAUGCUGAAAAUUCAGUUUUGUUCACAGAAAUAAAUUACAUUUUAAAAUGUAUUUAAACAGAAAACAGUUUUUAUAAGUUGUAAAAAUAUUUAACAAUUUCUAUCUAUAAUAUUUUUACCUUUAUGACCAAAAGAGACUUCUUUCAAAAACUUCUAAAUUAUUCCAAACUUCUGGCUGGUUGUGUACUGCCUCUCUCUCUCACACACGCACACAGAGCUGUGAUCAUUUGCUUAGUGGCUUGUAUCUGUGUCAUAUUUAACAUGGGCGUCUGGUGUCAUUAAAAAGCCACAAUGGGUCGCAGGAGUCUGGGUACUAAUGAGACCAGGUGCUGCACACCUGACCCCAAACUGUCUCAGCAGUGAACAAUGAGUGUGUGUGUGAGAGAAAGGCCAGAAAAUGAUAAAGAGGAGGAUGACUAUGUUCAGAAUACCAUACUACCAUAUGCUUUUUUCUGUUUCUGCAGUGUACACUGUGCAUAGAAUACCUGGAUGACCUACCACUACAUCACACUGCACUGAGCACUGUAUCCCACAAUGCAACAUGCUCAACUUGACCUUCAAUUUUCAGUGACAAAUUUAAUGACCUAGCGGUUUUUGGCCAUGGGCCUGUUUCAUCUUAAAGAUGGAUCACGGGGAAAACGCUGUGCACAGGGCUUCUAAAAUCACCAUGGGAAUCCAGGAACGACUGUUGAAAGCAAUAUCAUGGAUUUGUUUAUUUGCUUUUCACUUCUCAAGAUGUUAACUGAUGGACUGGAUUGAUGGGUUUACUUGUGGAUGAUGUUUUUAUCAGCUGAUUGGACUCUCAUUCUGACGGCACCCAUUCACUGCAGAGGAU